UAUGACGAUGGGAUCAAGAGGCUUGGUAA
rnacentral:piRNA from 1 species